rnacentral:rRNA from 1 species
ACAAUGGAGAGUUUGAUCCUGGCUCAGGACGAACGCUGGCGGCGUGCUUAACACAUGCAAGUCAAGGAGAACGUAUUCUUCGGAAUACUAUUAAACUGGCGAACGGGUGAGUAACGCGUAGGUAACUUGCCUUAAAGUUUGGGAUAACUUUGGGAAACUGGAGCUAAUACCGGAUAAUGCAGUUAAUUCUCAGGUGUAUACUGUUAAAGCGGGCUUCGGCUCGCGCUUUAAGAUAGGCCUGCGUCCGAUUAGUUUGUUGGUGAGGUAAAGGCUCACCAAGGCGAUGAUCGGUAGCUGGUUUGAGAGGAUGAUCAGCCACACUGGGAUUGAGAUACGGCCCAGACUCCUACGGGAGGCAGCAGUGGGGAAUUUUGCACAAUGGGCGAAAGCCUGAUGCAGCAACGCCGCGUGACCGAUGAAGCUUUUCGGAGCGUAAAGGUCUGUCGUGAGGGAAGAACAACUUGGAUGCAAAUAGUGUUUGAGUCUGACGGUACCUCACAAGAAAGCACCGGCUAACUUCGUGCCAGCAGCCGCGGUAAUACGAGGGGUGCUAGCGUUGUCCGGAAUUACUGGGCGUAAAGGGUUCGUAGGCGUCUUGCCAAGUUGAUCGUUACAGCCACCGGCUUAACCGGUGAUCUGCGAUCAAAACUGGUAAGAUAGAAUAUGUGAGGGGAAUGUGGAAUUCCUGGUGUAGCGGUGACAUGCGUAGAUAUCAGGAG